UGGUAUCAGAGCAACGACCGACCUAGGAGCCCCCUUGAUUGAUCGAACAUGGCCGAGUCGAGUCUAGUGAAAAACUAUUUGAGUCUUAGUUAUAUAUCGGAGAGUAGGAUUCUUUUUUCUCCUCUUCUAUGAUCUGGUGAGGAAUCUUGACGUAAUAAUUUAUUCUACUCCUCUUCUCACUCAAAAGUUUUUUAGGAUCACGCGGAUAUUUUUGGAAUAUAUAUGAUGCCGAUGUGACGGAGUUCUGUCUUGGUGCCUCCUGUCUGACUUGAUUUUCUUCCGGGGAGUUGAGCUCCAGGGGAUUCUUGAGAACAUCGUUAUCAUUCAGAUUUCUUAGUAUCUCAGUACGAAGGAUGUUCGUAAUUGCUUCAAUACUAGUAGUGGCGAGAUAACCCGGAUGUCCCCAGUACUGGUGCAGAUUGUUCGGGAGUACUGCCAUACUUUGUAUCGUUGUGAUCACGAGGGUCUGUUGUAGAUGAAGGUCCGAGAUUCUGGUUGUGUGUUGACAGAUGUGAUACAAGUGACGGGUUAGUAUAGGAGUUGUGUGAUAUUACUCCUUGUAUCCGUGUACCAGAUUGCAUGACCAGAUAUUUCGGGAAUUCAUAGGUGGGAAUUCUAGUAGUUGCUUAUAGGACAAUCUUCCAACAAAUGCAUGAUGUUAGGUUGGGGUUCGACAUCUAGUGGAUUCCUUUGUUCACGGUCGACUUACAGCGGUAUACGUUGUGUCUUAAAGAGUCCUUGUAGCUUGCUACGACUCGGGGACGCUUCGUAUGUCAGGUGCACUGCCUUGCACUUGGUGGCUACUGUAAAUCAUGCCCGUGCGAUCCUGUCCACGAAAAUAUCGAACGGAAAUCUUUCUCAUGAGUUUGUUCGGUCUUGUUUCAUAAGCCUCAUCCUUUGUUUUGUUGGAUAUGGUAAUUCAGUUGCUUCGAUGUCAAGUGGUGAUUUUAGAUCUUUCCUAAGAGGUGUUCUCAUAUUUUUAUGUGAGAAUGCAAAUCCUUUUGCUUAAUCAGUUGUCUUAUCAAUUCCUUUCAACCGGAGUCAUCGUAUCAAGUC
rnacentral:lncRNA from 1 species